AUGGGCAGCUGGCACCAGACACAGGCCUGGUCCUGCCUCGGACUCUGGGCUGGAGGCCGGGGGGCCCGCUGCAGCCUUCGCAGCUGUGUCCACAGCACAAGGGACAACCACUGCCUUGGCAGAGGUCCACUGUGCCUGGGCCCUCGGGAGUCCUGCUGGGCAGGCCGCAGACGCAGUUCUGGGGGGUGUUUGCCGUCCUCAUCUGCAGCAGGGACCCCGGGGCAGGCCAGGGCCAUCGGUUCAGGGGUGUCCUCCAGCAGUGAGGGGCUCUCCACGCUGGGCACCAGUGCCUGGGGUGCGUCAUCCAAGCCUCGCCGCGCUGGGCAGGAGUCCUACUGUGUGUCUGUCCUCACCCCCCAGCACCUGGGGAAGCCCCCGAGGGCCAUGGGUGCGUCCCCGCGCAGCACAGGGCUGGGGCGGGCUCCCCGCAAACCCGGGAGACGGCAUGGGCGCAGCUGGGCUCUCCCAGGGUCCUGCUGUUCCCACCCCUGCCCUCGGUCACGUGCCCCCAAUUCCUCGGGGGCCACACGGGGUGCUUUCCACAUCUGUCACCCAGACCCUGGGCUGCAGAUUCGGUUCCUCUUCCCCAGCCAUGGGCUCAGCAGAGCUCCUGUGGCCUGUGGGGGUCUGGUCCCAUCCGCCCCUGAGUCCUCCUGAACUGGCAUCAGUGGAGGGACCCAGGGAGCCGCCCGACCAGCCUCGGACCCACACACGGGGCUGUGUCCACAGGCAGGGGGGACUGCAGGGCUGGAGUGCUGGGCUGGAGCCGGAGGCUGCCUGUGGUUCCCUGCUUCUGAUGCCGGCUGGCCAGCGGCCUCAGUUUCGCUUCAGCAGGGGGAAUGGGGUCCACCCCCGGGGAGGCUGUGUGGCUUCCCAGAAACAUGCUUACAACAGACAGCCUGAGCCUCUCAGAGCCACAGACACCUGGCCAGAGCCUGACCCAGUGCCCCCGGUCAGAGCCAAGACGGCUGCCCGCCCGCCCUCCCUCCACGUCCCUGAUGCCGAGCAGCACAGUGCUGGGGACAGAACCAGGAGCCCCGAAAGGCCCCAAGAUGGGGCCCAGCGGUGCAGACCCUAACCCUGACCCACACAACACCAGGCCCCUCAGCAGGCGCAGAUCUGGGCAGAGGCAGCCGCCCUCCCAGCACCGUGACCCUGGCCAAGAGGCACCCAGCCAGAGUCGGUUUCACCCAGCAGGGCUUUCUCGGCUCCCCCACAAUGCAUGGGCCCUGCACGCCCAAAGCCCAGCACACAGACGCUGUCCACACAGGGGGCACUCNNNNNNNNNNNNNNNNNNNNNNNNNNNNNNNNNNNNNNNNNNNNNNNNNNNNNNNNNNNNNNNNNNNNNNNNNNNNNNNNNNNNNNNNNNNNNNNNNNNCAGGGGGCACUCAGCUUCCACACCGCCCCUUGGCGCUGUUCCUUUGGGGGUGUUUCUGGCACUUGCAGCCUCAGAAUCCUGACCUGAGAGGUGCGUGGCAUGCUGGGCAAGCUAAGAACCCAGGACCAAGGAUGUGGUCCCCAGGCUCGAUGUUUAAAAGCAGGUGACGACUUCUAGUCUCAGGCGGCACCCUCCCCGGGUUUACGGCAGGGACAGACUCCAGCUGCAGGGACUUCUUCCCUGUCUCCACACACUUUCCUAGUCUCCAAAUAUUCCACGAAGGUGUCUCGCUUUCCUACACUAGAAGAAAGGCGAGAGACGCAUAACCAAAGCAAAUCCCCUUCUGAGCGUGGGGACGACGCAGAGGGCCAGUGCAACUGCGGGCACACGCAGACCCGCCUGAGUCAGGAACGAGGCCAAGGGGCUGCGGUCUGCGAGAGGAGAUCACCAGCCCCAGUGCGGCCCCCAAGUGGCCCUCAGGCUGGGCUCACCGUCCCACCACCACCCCGGGCACAGAGAACUCCCAGCUCAGGGGCAGCACCUUCAGACCGGUGGGACUCCCUUGUUCUGGGCUGAGGCCCAGGCUUCUCUCUGCUUCGGGGCCUUUGCAUGUGCCUAGGACACUCCUCCCCAAGGUCUCAGCCACCUCAGGCUUAUCUUCAGGGUCUCAAUAGGAACAUCCAGGCACUCAGGGCUUUAAUAGGUAAACGGGCCCCACACACCAGGCUGCCCUGGUAGGUGAGCUGGUGUGCCCACUGCAUACUACACUCCAGGUGAGUCCUCACCCUCUGGGCAUUCCAGGAGAGGGAGCGCCUCCUACAGGAAGCCUUCCCUGACUGCCGGGCUUCUGCGGGCCUAGCCCACCUGAUAAGAGCGCCACCACACCAGGCUGCACGGUUCUCCAGCUCACAGGUUCGAGCCUCUCCUGAACUAGCAGAGGCAGUGAGCAAGAAUGAGAGGGACAGAGGGCAGAGAGUGGGUUUGAACUCUACCUCAGGACACAGCGGGUAUGGGAGGCUUGGGAGGGAGGGGUUGGGAAGGGCUGGUAGGAGUUAAGGGGGCAGUUCCCCCCAAGUGGAACCCAGAAAGAAAGAAAGAAGAAAGUGAAGUCACUCAGUUGUGUCCGACUCUGCAACCCCAUGGACUGUAGCCUACCAGGC
rnacentral:lncRNA from 1 species